ACAGGAAGACGAGGUCCUCAAAUCCAUGCUGAAUCCUCCCAACAUCAUUGAGCUCUGCUGUGAACUGGCUGCUCUAGGCAGUGUCCUAGACUGAUGGCUUCUAAGAUACCUGCCACUGGAGUUUAUGGUCCUGGCCAUUCGUCUCUACAUUCAGUUUGGCCUUUGCUGAGUGUAUACUCAUGGUGCAGUUCAACAGAUGCUUCUCUCCUCUAUUUCCUGCAAAUUGGCAGCUGGAUCCAGAGGUUAAUUGGACUUCAGUUUGAUCUCACUGGCAAGACUACAGUUUCUGUGGGUCAGGAAUCCAAGAGUGGCUUACAUGGACGGUUCUGAAGUCAUCUGAAGGCUUGACUGGACUGGAAGAUUCACUU